GGUUAAGUUGUUAAGGGCACACGGUGGAUGCCUGGGCAUCAGGAGCCGAUGAAGGACGUGGGAGGCUGCGAUAAGCCUCGGGGAGCUGCCAACCGAGCGUUGAUCCGAGGGUGUCCGAAUGGGGGAACCCCGCACCAGUCAUGUGGUGUGACCCGCGCCUGAACACAUAGGGCGUGUGGAGGGAACGUGGGGAAGUGAAACAUCUCAGUACCCACAGGAAGAGAAAACAACCGUGAUUCCGUGAGUAGUGGCGAGCGAAAGCGGAUCUUAGGCUAAACCGGUCGCAUGUGAUACCCGGCAGGGGUUGUGUGGUCGGGGUUGUGGGAGCAUCCAGUUCGGUCUGCCGGCCGGGCGGGGAGUGAGAAAGACUCGUGGUUAGUGGAAGGCCUCUGGAAGGGGUCGCCGCAGAGGGUGAGAGCCCCGUACACGAAAACCCGAGUCCUCCCGGAUGUUUUCCCGAGUAGCACCGAGCCCGUGAAAUUCGGUGUGAAUCUGGCGGGACCACCCGCUAAGCCUGAAUACUCCCUGAUGACCGAUAGCGGACGAGUACCGUGAGGGAAAGGUGAAAAGUACCCCGGGAGGGGAGUGAAAUAGUACCUGAAACCGUGUGCCUACAAGCCGUGAGAGCCUUAGCCGGGGUUACCUGGCGGGGUGAUUGCGUGCCUUUUGAAGAAUGAGCCUGCGAGUUAGCGGUACGUGGCGAGGUUAACCCGUGGGGGGUAGCCGUAGCGAAAGCGAGUCCGAACAGGGCGAGGAUAGUCGCGUGCUCUAGACCCGAAGCCGAGUGAUCUACCCAUGGCCAGGUUGAAGCGCGGGUAAGACCGCGUGGAGGACCGAACCCACCAGGGUUGAAAACCUGGGGGAUGAGCUGUGGGUAGGGGUGAAAGGCCAAUCAAACUCGGUGAUAGCUGGUUCUCCCCGAAAUGCAUUUAGGUGCAGCGUCGCGUGUUUCUUGCCGGAGGUAGAGCACUGGAUGGCUGAUGGGCCCUACCAGGUUACUGACGUCAACCAAACUCCGAAUGCCGGUAAGUGAGAGCGCGGCAGUGAGACUGCGGGCGAUAAGGUUCGUAGUCGAGAGGGAAACAGCCCAGAUCAUCGGCUAAGGCCCCUAAGCGUGUGCUAAGUGGAAAAGGAUGUGGGAUCGCAGAGACAACCAGGAGGUUGGCUUAGAAGCAGCCACCCUUGAAAGAGUGCGUAAUAGCUCACUGGUCAAGUGGUUCCGCGCCGACAAUGUAGCGGGGCUCAAGCACACCGCCGAAGCCGUGACACUCCAGCAGAUACUCCGCCGGUCCUCGUAUGGGCCGGCCAGGGGCUGGGGUGGGUAGGGGAGCGUCGUGUGGUGGGUGAAGCGGCGGAGGGAUCCAGCCGUGGACGCCACGCGAGUGAGAAUGCAGGCAUGAGUAGCGAAAGGGGAGUGAGAAACUCCCCCGCCGGAUGACCAAGGGUUCCUGGGCCAGGCUAAUCCGCCCAGGGUGAGUCGGGACCUAAGGCGAGGCCGACAGGCGUAGUCGAUGGACAACGGGUUGAUAUUCCCGUACCCGCGAAGGAGCGCCCAUGCCGGACCCAGCGAUGCUAACCGCCCGAACCGGUCGCGGCUUUCGAGCCAAGAUCGGGGAGCGCGGGACCCGGACUGGUAGUAGGCAAGCGAUGGGGUGACGCAGGAAGGUAGUCCUCCCGGUGAGUGGUAGUACCGGUGCAAGGGUGUGGCCCGUCCGAUAGGCAAAUCCGUCGGACAUUGUGGGUGAGGCCUGACGCAUAGCCGAAUGAGGCGAAUGGGAUGAUCCUAUGCUGCCGAGAAAAGCCUCUAGCGAGUUCCGAGCGGCCCGUACCCCAAACCAACUCAGGUGGUCAGGUAGAGAAUACCGAGGCGAUCGAGCGAACUGUGGUUAAGGAACUCGGCAAAAUGCCCCCGUAACUUCGGGAGAAGGGGGACCCUCUGCUGUGAACCGCCGCGCGCGGGGUAGCGGUGGGGGGUCGCAGAGACCAGUGAGAAGCGACUGUUUACUAAAAACACAGGUCCGUGCGAAGUCGUAAGACGAUGUAUACGGACUGACGCCUGCCCGGUGCUGGAACGUUAAGGGGACGGGUUAGUGCACCUCGUGUGUGCGAAGCUCAGAACUCAAGCGCCAGUAAACGGCGGUGGUAACUAUAACCAUCCUAAGGUAGCGAAAUUCCUUGUCGGGUAAGUUCCGACCUGCACGAAUGGCGUAACGACUUCUCAGCUGUCUCAACCACAGGCUCGGCGAAAUUGCACUACGAGUAAAGAUGCUCGUUACGCGCGGCAGGACGGAAAGACCCCGGGACCUUCACUACAGCUUGAUAUUGGUGUUCGGUUCGGCUUGUGUAGGAUAGGUGGGAGACUGUGAAGCGGGCACGCCAGUGUCCGUGGAGUCGCCGUUGAAAUACCACUCUGGUCGAAUUGGAUGUCUAACCUCGGUCCGUGAUCCGGAUCAGGGACAGUGUCAGGUGGGUAGUUUAACUGGGGCGGUUGCCUCCCAAAAUGUAACGGAGGCGCCCAAAGGUUCCCUCAGCCUGGUUGGCAAUCAGGUGUCGAGUGCAAGUGCACAAGGGAGCUUGACUGCGAGACCGACGGGUCGAGCAGGAGCGAAAGCUGGGACUAGUGACCCGGCACCGGCAUGUGGAAGCGGUGUCGCUCAACGGAUAAAAGGUACCCCGGGGAUAACAGGCUGAUCUUCCCCAAGAGUCCAUAUCGACGGGAUGGUUUGGCACCUCGAUGUCGGCUCGUCGCAUCCUGGGGCUGGAGUAGGUCCCAAGGGUUGGGCUGUUCGCCCAUUAAAGCGGUACGCGAGCUGGGUUUAGAACGUCGUGAGACAGUUCGGUCCCUAUCCGCCGCGCGCGUAAGAGACUUGCGAAGAGCUGUCCCUAGUACGAGAGGACCGGGACGGACGAACCUCUGGUGUGCCAGUUGUACCGCCAGGUGCACUGCUGGUUGGCUACGUUCGGCAGGGAUAACCGCUGAAAGCAUCUAAGCGGGAAGCUCGCUUCAAGAUGAGGUCUCUCACCCACUCGAUGGGGUAAGGCCCCCGCCCAGACCAGCGGGUUGAUAGGCCGGAGGUGGAAGCACCGCAAGGUGUGCAGCUGACCGGUACUAACAGGCCGAGGACUUACCAC
rnacentral:rRNA from 1 species